rnacentral:rRNA from 1 species
UGGGGAAUCUUGCGCAAUGCGCGAAAGCGUGACGCAGCAACGCCGCGUGGGGGAAGAAGGCCUUCGGGUUGUAAACCCCUUUCAGUUGGGACGAAGCCUCGUCGGUAAACAGCCGGCUGGGGUGACGGUACCUUCAGAAGAAGCCCCGGCUAACUACGUGCCAGCAGCCGCGGUAAUACGUAGGGGGCUAGCGUUGUCCGGAAUCAUUGGGCGUAAAGCGCGUGUAGGCGGCUCGGUAAGUCCGCUGUGAAAGUCGGGGGCUCAACCCUCGAAUGCCGGUGGAUACUGUCGGGCUCGAGUGCGGAAGAGGCGAGUGGAAUUCCUGGUGUAGCGGUGAAAUGCGCAGAUAUCAGGAGGAACACCAAUUGCGAAGGCAGCUCGCUGGGACGUUACUGACGCUGAGACGCGAAAGCGUGGGGAGCAAACAGG